rnacentral:rRNA from 1 species
UACGUAGGUGACAAGCGUUGUCCGGAUUUACUGGGCGUAAAGAGCGCGCAGGCGGUCGAUCAAGUCGGGUGUGAAAGCCCCCGGCUCAACUGGGGAGGGUCAUUCGAUACUGAUCGACUCGAAGGCAGGAGAGGGUAGUGGAAUUCCCGGUGUAGUGGUGAAAUGCGUAGAUAUCGGGAGGAACACCGGUGGCGAAGGCGGCAUCCUGGACCAACACUGACGCUGAGUGAGCGAAAGCCAGGGGAGCAAACGGG